UAAAAUUCAAUCUCAUCUUCUUCAAAAUUCUCGAUUUCAAUUCAGUGCAAAAAUCAAAACACACAACCAAAAAAAGACCUUCUUCGCUCCUAUAAUGAGGAAGAGCUCGAGCUUCCCUUGAUAGAUUCAUCACUCUUUCUCUUAUGUCUCACCCCACCUCCUCUACCUCCACCUCCAACCCCAGCAAGCGCUCCUCCUCCCCUUAUUCCUCCGCCGCCGCAGCUCCAAUUCUCUCCGCGAUGAAGAAGGCCAAGUCGCACAAUACUCCCCACGUCCACUUCUCCGACUCCCCCGCCCUCUCCCCGAUGAUCGAGGACGAUCCCGCCGACUCGGCGCUCGAGGCCUCCUCCCCCUCCAGCGCCUUCGGCCGCACUGGCGCCGCUUCCGCCGGCGGCGUCACCUCUAAUUUGUCGCGGAAGAAAGCCACCCUCCCGCAGCCAACGAAGAAGCUCGUAAUUAAGCUCAAUAAAGCCAAACCGAUGCUACCGGCUAAUUUUGAGGAAAAUACAUGGGCAACACUUGAGUCGGCAAUCAGCGCUAUAUUUUUGAAACAGCCCAAUCCAUGUGACCUGGAGAAACUCUAUCAGGCGGUAAAUGACCUUUGCCUUCACAAAAUGGGGGGAAGUCUCUAUCAACGGAUCGAAAAGGCGUGCGAAAGCUACAUAUCCGCUUCCCUUCAAUCUUUGGUUGGCCAAAGUGAAGACCUGGUGGUUUUCUUAUCACUUGUCCAGAAGCGGUGGCAGGAUUUUUGCGACCAGAUGCUGAUGAUCCGGGGUAUAGCUUUAUAUCUCGAUAGAACAUAUGUGAAGCAAACAUCGAAUGUUUGCUCAUUGUGGGACAUGGGCUUGCAGCUUUUUCACAAACAUCUUUCCCUAGCUUCAGAAGUGGAGCGCAAAACUGUAUUUGGUCUUUUAAAAAUGAUUGAGAGUGAAAGAUUAGGCGAAGCAGUUGAUAGAACUCUCCUUAAUCAUCUAUUGAAGAUGUUUACUGCAUUGGGUAUUUAUCCAGAAAGCUUCGAGAAGCCAUUCCUUGAAGGUACAUCUGAGUUUUAUGCAGCCGAAGGUGUCAAAUACAUGCAGCAAGCAGAUGUUCCAGAUUAUUUAAAGCACGUAGAGAUGAGAUUGCAAGAAGAAAAUGAAAGAUGUCUAAUUUACCUGGACUCAAGUACAAGAAAGCCACUCGUAGCAACUGCAGAAAGGCAGCUGCUCGUGCGUCAUGUAACUGCCAUUCUCGACAAGGGUUUCAUGAUACUUAUGGAUGCGAAGCGUAUUGAAGACCUUCAGAGGAUGUAUCUUCUCUUCUCUAGAGUUGACGCCCUCGAAUCAUUAAGGCAAUCCCUGAAUCAAUACAUCCGAAUAACUGGUCAGAGUAUUGUCAUGGAUGAGGAGAAGGACAGAGAUAUGGUAUCGAGCUUAUUGGAAUUUAAAGCUAAUCUUGAUAGAAUAUGGGAAGAAAGCUUUUCCAAAAAUGAAGCAUUUAGCAACACCAUCAAGGAUGCAUUUGAGCAUCUCAUUAAUAUCCGGCAGAAUCGGCCUGCUGAGCUUAUCGCAAAGUUUGUUGACGAAAAGCUUCGUGCUGGAAACAAGGGUACCUCAGAAGAGGAAUUGGAGGGUACACUUGAUAAAGUGUUAGUCUUGUUCAGAUAUAUACAGGGCAAGGAUGUUUUUGAAGCUUUCUACAAGAAAGAUCUUGCUAAAAGGCUCUUGUUGAGUAAAAGUGCUUCUAUUGAUGCAGAGAAGUCUAUGAUUACUAAGUUGAAAACUGAGUGCGGCAGUCAAUUUACUAACAAACUCGAAGGAAUGUUCAAGGACAUCGAAUUGUCUAAAGAGAUUAACGAAUCAUUCAAGCAAUCAUCUCAAGCUCGGACAAAACUCCCGUCCGGGAUCGAGAUGAGUGUUCAUGUCCUAACAACUGGGUACUGGCCGACAUAUCCACCCAUGGAUGUCAGGCUCCCACAUGAGCUCAAUGUUUACCAGGAUAUUUUCAAGGAGUUUUACUUGAGCAAGCAUAGUGGGAGGCGAUUGAUGUGGCAAAACUCGUUAGGUCAUUGUGUUCUUAAAGCAGAUUUCCCGAAGGGUAAAAAGGAACUCGCAGUUUCUCUGUUUCAGACUGUUGUAUUGAUGCUGUUCAAUGAUGCACAAAAUCUUUGCUUUCAAGAUAUAAAAGAAUCUACGGGUAUCGAGGAUAAAGAGCUGAGGAGGACUUUGCAGUCCCUUGCAUGUGGGAAGGUUCGCGUCCUCCAAAAAAUUCCUAAAGGCAAAGAUGUGGAUGAUGACGAUUCCUUUGUCUUCAACGAUCAAUUUACUGCUCCACUGUAUCGUAUAAAGGUAAAUGCAAUCCAGAUGAAGGAAACAGUUGAGGAGAACACUAGCACAACGGAAAGGGUUUUCCAAGAUCGUCAAUAUCAGGUCGAUGCUGCUAUCGUUCGUAUAAUGAAGACGAGAAAAGUGCUGAGCCACACCUUACUGAUCACCGAACUCUUUCAGCAGCUGAAGUUUCCAAUAAAACCGGGUGACCUGAAGAAGAGGAUCGAGAGCCUCAUUGAUCGAGAGUACCUGGAACGUGACAAAAACAACCCACAAAUAUACAACUACCUUGCUUGAAAAAAGUCACCACAAGGUAAAUCAUCAUUUUUCCUUGUAUAAACGACAUGGUCUGAUCAACGUGUUAGAAGCUCAUCUAUCAAAGAAACCUUUGUACAGGAACUCAGCUGUCUUUCUCUCCUCCCUUUUUUUGUUAUGCUCAAUUCUCUUCUAUGUCCAGUUUCAGCAUGCAUUUAUAAAAUUUGUGGCUCUGCGCAGCAACCCACCUCUCGUCGGGGCUGUACUGUAUAAAAACUCCGCUCUUGUACUGUUUACACUCCCCUAAUGCCGUUUCUGUGGGGUACAUUCACAUCAACCCAUUGGGAACCUCUUCCACAAACACGGGCUGAACAGAGCUUGCUCUGAUACCACUUGUUGCCCGACCCCCAUUUCAUGAACGUUGCGUCAGAGAAUUCAGUUCCACUUUAUAAAUUCAUAUGGCAGAAGCUAAGAGGACCAAAGAAAUCAAAAGGUGCAUGCUUUGAGUAUAUGGAUUACAGUACAGUUACUGCAAGAUCUCCUUCAACUAUCGAUCUUUUCAUUUAUUUUUAUCUUAGGAAUAAAGUAUAGUGGGAUUGAAAUUCAUAAUUUCAUGAGAUCAAGUGUGAUAGAAUAGCAAAAUUUGAUAAUAACAACCCUAGUUCAGAUCAAACAUGACAUAUUCCCCAUCACUUUUGAAACGUCUAAACAAUGUGUAUGCUCGAAUUUCUCCA